GUCGCACAAGUACAAUAAGUAAACUGAAUACAACCACAACUAAAUGAAUAUAGAAACAAUUAUACAAUCAUUCAUUCACCAUUCACAUCACAAUUAUACAUUCAAUGUUUAACAUAAAUCUACACCUAUCAGUUAAAAACGUUUUCAACCCAGAAACAGGUUUUGAAAUGCUAAGAUACAAAAUCCACAGAAAACCUUUUAAAAACUGUUCCCUACACGGGAACUUUUAUCUUUUAGAAACGCUACCACGAGGGGUAGAAAAUCAUUCAACAUUUGAAAUCCACAAAUCCUUUUUAUUACAUCAUAAAUCCAACUGAAAAUUCAGAUAUUCAACUACUAUAACAAAAACUGAACUAUAAUAUGUCUAAGUUAUUUAUUCAAGCAUGAAGGGUAAAGAAAUAACCGACACGGGACGGAGCUCUAUCGUACGCUAGAAAUGCUCCUCACCAGCUGUCCCACUUGGACCUGCGACGUCACCUGUAAUGGGGGCGGGGGGGUGAGAACAUGUAAACAUAUCUCCCUCUCCUUCCAGUGGGUACCGCAAGCCGACGAGGGCGAGGGGUACUCACUAGUCAGGAGAUAAACAAGGAUAUGAAUAAUGGUAAUACAGUAGCUAAGAUAAACAAGUAAUGAAAUGUGUAUAGAUAAACCACUACAGGUACUGUAUGCGUGCAUCAAAUCAGUCCAAAAGUACCCAAUAUGAAACCAAUGCUCUCUUGGUCCGCACCGCAAACCUCAAGCCAGUGCCACUACUACUCUACCAUGCAUAUAACCCCUCUAGGGCUCACGGAUUGACAACUGCAACCAUUUUUCCGGAAAAGAACACCCCUUGCGGUGGAUCAGACCGCCAGUGUUCGUGAAAUGCGACGAGUAUCGGGCGAUCAAUGCAAUAUGCUCAAUGAUCAACCGUCGGCAACUAGCCGACAAUCCUGCCCCCCAGGGCACACCAGCCAUAUGGGUCAUCAUGUAAUCAAAUCAACCAACCAGGUCACAAGUAUAGGAGAUGCAAUGUCCACAAGUAUAGGAGAUGCAACGUCGACCAACCAGGUCAUGGAGAUCACAUAGGAGAAUAGACCAACCAAAUCAUAGAUGCAAAUAGGAGAACCGACCAACCAGGUCACAGAUGCAAAUAGGAGAACCGACCGACCAGGUCACAAAUAUCAUAUACAGAUAAAGUUUACUAUACUCCUACACAUGAUACUACAUCUGGCAACAACUAAGUAGAGUAAAUAAGGAAAUAGCAUGGGUGUAAGGCUCAACAUGUAUAAGGUAAAUGAUAUACACAACAAGGGUAAAGGAAACGUCACCGAGCGUGCACCACUGUACCGACGUCGGAACGAAGUACCCACCUGUAUGUGUCUGACGAAAAUCUCUCGACUGUGAAGACGGUGCAACCGAACCUACGAAAGGUCCACCGGGUUAGAACCUAACCCACUAACACAUAUCGCUAACUCACAAUCCCACAAUCAUAGCCCUUCGGGAAUCGGUUUUCCAAAACCGAUUGCCGAACUCACCAGAAGUCACAAAAAAACUGCACCGGGACUCCGCCGGGACCCACGAACCGUCCCAAAACUACCCAACUCAUCAUAUGAGUUGCUCGCUGCCGCUAAACACCUAUUUUAGUGUGACAAGGCAGCAAAGACGCUAACUCGAUGCGGAACGAUUAUCGUCGGAUAAUCGUUUCGAUUCGGGUUCCCGGAAAUGUCUAUUUCGACACCGGAACCCGCCGUCGCUCACUCGUCGUUUCUGAACCCUCGAAACGACACGGGUGACAAGCCAACAAGGCUCAGCGACACUACAAUCAACCACGAGGCACUGUCGGAUGAAUUUCGAAUCGAAAACGCGUUCUAUCAGCGGAUUUCGCCGAAAAACGCUCCAGAAAUCACUUUUCGAUUUUCGCAAAAGCUUGGGGCCUUGGACGAUCAGUCCAGAGGUUAUCCUCAGCCUACCCUUGCUGCCAACAUCAUCUACAUCGAAGCAAAAACCCUAAAAGCCCUUACCGAUACGUGAAAUCACAUCAUUUUAUGUGAUUUCUAGGCUUUUCUGGACCGUGCACGCAAACCAGAGAUCGAUUCAGCAAACCGUCGCGCUCGCUGAUAGGUUUCAGCGUGCCAGAGGCCGUGCUCACCUUUCGGAGAACUGCCGGCCACUAUGGCACGCGCACGAGCGACACGAAACUCAGUGAAACAGCGCGCACAGCGCUAAGAUUGCCAUUAAUGCACAAUCCAGGGCAUCUCUGUCCCUGUUGGAGGUGAGCAAGAUGUUCAGCACGUGUUGUAGAUCAUCGUGCUCACUUCCCUAGGUCUAGAAGGCUUAACGGAUCACCGAAAAGGUGACCGAAAUCUCAGACUUUAGUGCUGGAACAUAAAACAGCCUUACCAGAACCGGGGAGAGCUAGGGUUGGUCGCCGACGGUCGGACGGCGGGCGGUCCAGCUAGGGGAGGGCGCGGCCGGUAGGUGAGUUCCGGGGCACUCGUUGGCCGGUGGCUGGAGGCGGCCGGUGGCGCGGCGGCGGAGAUCAACUCCCUAAGGCUGCUCACGGGUUCAAGGGCGCCGACAGCAAGGCGGCGGCCGAAGGAGCUUGGGGCGGCGACGAUUCGACGCCGGAGGCCGAGGGAGAGGCGGUGCACCCUUCGUUGGACGGCGGCGGCGCUUGGAAGUCGAGCGGACUCGACCUCGGUCCGCACCAACCCAGGACGGCCGCAAGCUGCACAAGCGGCGGCCGGCGGUCCACGGGGAUGGCCGGGAUGGCGAGCAGGAGGUCGCCGGAGGUGCGGGGAUAGCGCUGGGGAUGGGCCUGUGCCAGGGGAUGUUGAAGCUCGGGCUUUGAUGCCUUCCCGAGCACAACAGCUGAGCUGGUGGCGAGGUGGGUCUAACGAGGAGUUGAGGGGAGGCCGGGGUGGCUUUUCCGGCGGCCGGAGCUGCUCGUCGGCGGUCCCGAUGUGCGAAUUGGCAGGGCAUGGUGUAGGUAGGGCAGCUAGGGUUAGCUAGGUGAACGUGGGCAGCCAAAGAACCAUGAAAAACCCUAGAUGUUACUUUUAUACAAGGUGUCAUUUUGCGAGGAACCCCUUCAAAGUCAAAUAAUUAUAAUCCUGCCCCUGCCCGCAUGUGUAACUUGCAUGCCAGCCCAUCAACAUUCGAAAUCUCGUGAAACAGCGCAUAAAAUAUAGGGUCUUUUCGCGAUUAAUCGAUUUUGCCAAAUUGACCUCUCAGCGGACUUUUCACAAUUUCCGAAGAUCCGCCCGUCGGAUUUCCGAACGGAUUGCGCCAGCGCGUUCAGAAUGACUGGGGCAUCGAAUCUAGCAUCUUACUUUGUCCGAUUUGGUUUUCGAUUUGCGUCAAAACCAUCCCUCUUUUGUUUUCACUAUGUAGCCACUUAUAUUACUACACGUGAAACCAAUCAAACCCCUUUUUUCUCGACAACCGUGCAUCAGAAUCCAAUUUCGUCAGUGCCAUUGGGUCCAGAAUGGUCGAACCGUUCGAAACGAGCUAUUGGAGCACUAUGAUCGGAGUCCAAUGUGCACCAGAACCGUCUUCUACUCACUGGCUUCGCCGGGAAGCCAGAGUUACUAUUCACUCUAAGUUAUCGGUUCAGGUUGCAUAACUUCUCCAUCUUAACUCGUUUUCACCUGAAAUUUGACAAGUGCUUAUGUAAUUAUAUUACACAUAAAAAUAUUGUCAACAAAGGGUUUAAUUUUUAUUACUAAAAAUCUCGGUUAUUACAUCAUUCCCCCCUUACAAGAAGUUUCGUCCCCGAAACUUAAAUCAAGGAUCCCCCGUGAAUAGCUGCGGAUAACUCUCCCGCAUAGAAGACUCAAGCUCCCAUGUAGCCUCGCGCUCCUCGUGAUUUGCCCACUGAACUUUUACAUACGGAAUGCUCCUGUUCCGUAAUUGCUUCACUUCACGUGCCAAAAUCCCCAAUGGAGCCUCAUCAUAGCUCAGAUCCUCCCGUAGCUGAAUAGAUGUCGGACUAAUGAUGUGAGACGGAUCUGGAAUGUAUUUCCGCAACAUGGACACAUGAAAGACAUUGUUCACCCGGGUGAGACUUGGAGGAAGAGCCAAUCUGUACGCUACCGGACCGAUGCGCUCCAGGAUCUCAAACGGUCCCACGAACCGCGGACUUAGCUUGUUCCGCAAACCGAACCGCUUGAUCCUCUUGGAUGGCGACACCUUGAGCAACACAUGCUCACCGACCUGAAACUCCAGGUCACGCCUCUGCUGAUCCGCGUAUCUCCUCUGUCGACUCUGUGCAGUCAGAAGCCGCUCUCUCGCAAUGCGGAUCUUCGCCAACGCAUCCUCCACUAAGUCUGGCCCGAUCAACCGACGUUCUCCGACGUCGUCCCAACAGAUAGGAGACCGACAUCGACGCCCAUAUAAAGCCUCGUACGGUGCCAUCCCGAUGCUCGCCUGGUAGCUGUUAUUAUAGGAGAACUCCACCAACGGUAGAUAUCGGAACCAUCCAUCACCGUAAUCCAGGAUACAUGCGCGGAGCAUGUCCUCAAGAGUCUGGAUGACUCGCUCUGACUGUCCGUCGCUCUGGGGAUGGAAUGCCGUACUGAAGUUCAACUUCAUACCCAUAACCUAUUGCAAGCUCCUCCAGAAGUGGGAAACAAAGCGAGUGUCCCGAUCAGACACAAUCGACACUGGCACACCAUGAAGCCGAACAAACUCGUCAAUGUAUAACUGUGCUAGUCGAUCACGGGACCACGUUGUAUGCAUCGGCAAGAAGUGAGCCAAUUUCGUCAGCCGAUCAACUAUAACCCAGAUCACAUCAUGGCCUCGCUGUGAUCGAGGCAAUCCGGUGACGAAAUCCAUAGUGAUCUGCUCCCACUUCCAUACGGGGAUCGGAAGUGGUUGCAGCUUUCCUGCUGGUCGCUAAUGCUUAGCUUUCACCUGCUGACAAAUCAAGCACCGAGCCACGUGCUGAGCCACAUCAAGCUUCAUCCCAGGCCACUAGAAAUUCUGCUUCAGGUCGCGGUACAUCUUGGUUCCUCCUGGGUGAACUGUGUAAGGGGAUCGGUGCGCCUCGGAUAGGAUGUCGUUCCUCAGCUCCGAGUCAUUGGGCACACACCAUCUGCCUUUAAAGCGCAGAGAUCCAUCAGUGUGGAUAUUGAAGUCCCCGUCCUUACCCUGCUCGACCUCCGCCCGCACUUUCUGUAAGUACGGGUCACUCUACUACCCAAGCAAAAUCCGCUCCGUCAAAGUAGGCUGUAUCACCAGAGUCAUCAAUUGGGCCGUGGCCCCGGUGGAAACAACCUUGAUCUCCAGACGGCGGAACUCCACGAGUCGAUCCUGGCUCGUGAUCAUAAUGGACAACGAAGCUGAAGGCUGUUUCCGGCUCAAGGCGUCCACCACCGCGUUCGCCUUUCCCGAAUGGUACUGGAUCGUGAGAUCGUAGUCCUUUAAGAGCUCGAGCCAACGUCUCUGCCUGAGGUUCAACUCCUUCUGUGUGAAAAGGUACUUCAGGCUCUGAUGAUCGGUGAAUACCUCGCAGUGUGCUCCAUAUAGAUAGUGCCUCCACAGCUUUAGGGCAAACAUUACCGCCGCGAGCUCUAGAUCGUGAGUCGGAUAGUUCUUUUCAUACGACUUUAGCUGUUGAGAUGCGUAAGCGAUGACCCGAUCCUGCUGCAUAAGCACGCACCCCAGACCGACCCAGGAGGCGUCACAAUAGACCACAAAAUCCUCACCAGGUCGCGGCAGAGUAAGAACGGGUGCGCGGGUCAAUCGAUCCUUCAGCUCAUCAAAGCUCUGCUGGCACUGCUCGGUCCACUGAAACCGUUCUCCUUUUCUGGUAAGCUUGUUUAGCGGUGCGGCGAUCUUGGAGAAGCCCUCAACGAAUCGCCGAUAAUAACCCGCCAAACCCAGAAAGCUCCGGACUUCAGUCACCGAAGUCGGUUCAGGCCACUCGACCACUGAGGCUAUCUUCUUUGGAUCCACCGUAAUGCCCGAUGGAGUCACAAUAUGCCCUAAGAAAGAUACCUCGCGGAGCCAGAACUCGUACUUCUUGAGCUUACCAUAUAGCUUGUGCUCUCGAAGUAUCUGCAGUACUCGUCGGAGAUGAUCCUUGUGCUCCUCAUCACUCCGCGAGUAAAUCAGGAUGUCGUCAAUGAAGACCACGACAAACUGAUCCAAGUAUGCCCGAAAGACCCUAUUCAUCAUAUCCAUGAAAGCUACCGGGGCAUUGGUGAGCCCAAACGGCAUCACCGUGAACUCGUAGUGGCCGUAUCGAGUUCUAAAGGCGGUCUUCGACACAUCCUCAUCCCGGAUCUUAAGCUGAUGGUACCCGGACUGUAGGUCGAUCUUCGAAUACACCGAUGAUCCAUGAAGCUGAUCGAAGAGAUCCUCAAUCCGGGGUAGUGGAUACUUGUUCUUCACAGUGACCUUAUUAAGCUCCCGGUAGUCGAUGCACAGUCGAAGACUACCAUCCUUCUUUUUGACAAAGAGGACUGGGGCACCCCCAAGGAGACACGCUAGGGCGGAUAAACCCUCUCUCCAGAAGAUCCUCAAGUUGAGCCUUCAACUCUUUCAGCUCAGCGAAGGCCAUGCGAUAGGGGGCCUUCGAGAUCGGUGCCGUGCCUGGAACUAGCUCGAUGAAGAAGUCGAUCUCCCGGUCCGGAGGCAUUCCCGGAAGCUCAUCUGGAAAGACAUCCGGGAAUUCCUGAACAACUAGAAUAUCCUCCAAUGGUGGUGCAGCUCGGUGGGUGACAUCUACUGAAGCCAGGUAGGCUACACAUCCCGCAUUCAUAAGCCUCUUUGCUCUAGCUGAAGAGAUAGACGCGGCAAAAUAGGAGCUCUUACAUGCUCGGUAUACGAAUACUUCUUCGCCGGGCCCGAUAAAUGUCACCGUCCUCCGCUCGCAGUCGAUGGUAGCGUGGUGCCUGGUAAACCAGUCCAUCCCAAUCACCACGUCGAACUUCUUCAUGGGAAGUACCACCAGGUUCGCCAGGAAGCUCCGAUUAUCCAAAAUGACAGGGUACGAUAGGAUGCACCGAUCAGCUAAUAGGUCACCUCCAGGCGUGUCAAUACGGAGCGGCACGUCUAGUGGACGCGAGGAAAUACCAUGCUCACAUGCAAAUGAAUGCGAAAUGAAUAAGUGCGAUGCUCCAUUAUCGAAUAUAGCUCUAGCACGAGUAAUGCAGAGGGUAACAAUACCUGCAAGGACGUCACCAUCAUUGUUGCCUUCGUGCGCGCCCCCUCGUUUUGGCGUGAGGAGGAGGGACGCCUAAACGAAGCAGCUGCGCUUGGAGCUCAACGGUUCUGUCGGGAUGCAGCUGGGGAGGAGGCAGCACUCUGAUUAGCCACAUUUCUCUUAGGGCAAUGUGCUUGCAGGUGGCCCGGCUGACCACAAUGGAAACAGUUGUCCCUCCUCUGCGGACAGUCGGUCACCCGGUGUGCUUGCCCACAAAUCACACGGGGUUGACCGCCCCGUCGCUGACUGCCGGAGGGUGCACUCUUCGCCGACUGCUGAGUGCGAGGAUGCUUCGGUGGCUUUUUGCUGAAAGAAGAGCCACUGCUAGACUUAGAAUGGGAACGCUUCCUGUCCCCUGAUCGCUAGGAUGCAUCGCGAUCAGCUCGCAUCUCCUCUGACUCGCUCUGCACUAUAAGAGCCCGGUCGAAAGACUCGUCGAAGGGUAUCAUGCCAUUGGACGCGACCAAGAGCCGAAUGUUGGGCCUCAGCCCCCUGAUAAAAAGCUUGGCCUUGUGGUACUCGUCCCGCACCGCGAAGGGAAUCAGCCCGACGAUGCAGCUGAAAUCUCGCUCGUACUCCGCCACAGUACGGUUACCCUGCUUAAGGCGCUCCAGCUCGCGCUCCAAGUUCUGCUUCGUACUGUCCUUGAAGUACUGCUCAUUUAGGAGUCUCCGAAACUCAUCCUAGGGUGGAUAGAUGCUUGAGAGCUUGUUCACGAAGUGGCGGAUCCACCAUGCAUACGCAUCCCUCUCAAGGCAAUGAGCGGCCAGAGGAACGCGAUCCUGCUCCUCAAUAUGGAGAUCGCGAAAUAGUUUCUCCAUGUGGGUGGCCCAGUGCUCGAUCACCCAUGCAUCGUCAUUCUUCCUAGCGAACUUAGGCGGAUCGAACUUUCUAAACUGGACCAACUUCGCACGCAUGUGAUCGCCCUCCACUGCAGAGGUAUUAGCACCCCCAGCGAAAACCGUCGUGGUAGUCGUCGUCGUCGUCGUGCCAGUCGGAGCUGUAGCCGGUGGAGGUAUCAUCGAGUGUCCGCAGUAACUGGAGCCGGCUGUGUCGGAGGUGGAGCCGGGGGAGCAGCAGCUGCAGUCUGCUGCUGUAUAAACUACUGGAACAUCCCCGAGAGGGCCGUCAGCUGACCCCUCAUCGCUGCUACCUCGGCCUCAAGCUGCUAGGUACGCGCAUCACCCAACUGCUCGGGGCCGACCUGCUUCCCUCCACCCCUGCCCCUCGGGACACGCCCUCCAGGACUGUUCGAUGCCCCCUCAGUGGCGCAUCCACCGCCACGACCCCGACGAGGAGGUCUACCAGGACCACGAGCCAUCUGCAACAGAAAACACCGUCAGCCGAAUAAUCGACUUCGACUACUACCAACCAGGACUCGAGCCCAAACCCCGCACUCACAUGCUUAUACAUCGUAGGUCUUCCUAAAGGUCAACCUAACCAAUGGUUCAGUUUAUUUUUAUUUUCAAAAUAACCUGUGAAUGGUGUUGUGGUUGUAACUUGGCUCUGAUACCACUUUAAUCUGUAACGCCCCGGGGUCCAUUUUUGUUUGAAAACACAGCGGAAAUAGCUAAAUUUUUUUUUUUUUUUAAAGACCUGACUCUAGGGUAUGCCAGAUCCGCCACAAAUACAGAGAGUUCACAGAUCACACGGACAGAGUCUCCCCUAUAUUUGCACGGUGUCGCACAAGUACAACAAGUAAACUGGAUACAACCACAACUAAAUGAACAUAGAAACAACUAUACAAUCAUUCAUUCACUAUUCACAUCACAAUUAUACAUUCAAUAUUUAACAUAAAUCUACAUCUAUCAGUUAAAAACGUUUUCAACCCAGAAACAGGUUUUGAAAUACUAAGAUACAAAAUCCACAGAAAACCUUCUAAAAACUCUUCCCUACACUGAAACUUUUAUCUUUUAGAAACGCUACCACGAGGGGUAGAAAACCAUU
rnacentral:lncRNA from 1 species